GGCCGGAAGGACCUGGGAUCUGGGUACAUAAGCCAGCUGAGAUGCGUGGAGGACUUGGACACCAUCAGGAGAAGGCAUCCAGAACAGGAGAAAACAGCCCUGUCUUGUGAAGGCGAGCCCACAACAGAGUGCCAAAAUGUGUAGUAUGGAUUGCCUUUUCAAUUUGGUACGGUCCGUAUUGCAUGUGGUUAAGCGCAUCUUUGACAAGUCAAAGGAACUGUACAAUCACCCCUUUGAGCCACCUAAGCGAGAAUGACAUCUGUUCCUUUUGUUCUACAAUGGACUCCACCACAGCUUCUCUUCCCACACUGGCAACAUACGUGGACAUCCCAUUAUCAAGAGGGUUUUUUUGUUAUAUUAAUACAAAAUUCCAAAGGAGAAUAAAGCUUGUUUAGAUCUAAA